CUUUGGAAAAGCUAGAGUUUGACUUCCAAAACCUUUAAAUCAUAAUUAUUAUUUAUAUGCAUGCAUUUCAUAUUGCACGUAUUACAAUCACAUUUAUGUAACUUUUCCUUAGUUAUUUUGUAUACAGUUUUCCAGAAGUGUGGAAACUUUUGAAGAACGACAAUGUCAAAAAUCAUCAUUUCCCUCUAUGUCAAGUAAAAUGUAAGUUGGAGAUGAGGUCUAGUCACCAAAGAAAUCCUCUAAGUGUGUUAGAAGCUGAAGCAUGACUCAUAUUUCAUUACUAUUUGAAGACGAAGGUCCCUUGUCAGUAAUGCCUGAGUAACAUACUGUCAUUAACUUCCCUCAUACAUAUGGGCACCCUGAAAUAAACUGCUAGCUUUUGAGUGUCUACAUUGGUGACAAUCUGUGAAGAAAUCAGAGUAUACUCCUGACAACAGCAUCAAUGAUUCUACAUAUGGUAUGCAAUAUAACCUGCAUACCAAGGAAAUGAAAUAUAAUGUGAUUCAGAAGUCCAGCUCACGAAAUCAAGCCUAAUGGCUCAAGGUGGCGCAAGGAAGGGGCUACUCACUGAAUCUCUGUUCUGGGGAGUUAUCAGCAGCUCUCUUCACCAAAUUUCUCCUCCUCGUAAUCCUUCACUUGCAACAGCAUUAAGCGACCCAUCUUAG
rnacentral:lncRNA from 1 species